CAGUCGCCACGGGAAUACGUAGGUGGCAAGCGUUGUCCGGAAUUAUUGGGCGUAAAGGGCUCGCAGGCGGUUUCUUAAGUCUGAUGUGAAAGCCCCCGGCUCAACCGGGGAGGGUCAUUGGAAACUGGGAAACUUGAGUGCAGAAGAGGGGAGCGGAAUUCCACGUGUAGCGGUGAAAUGCGUAGAGAUGUGGAGGAGCACCAGUGGCGAAGGCGACUCUCUGGUCUGUAACUGACGCUGAGGAGCGAAAGCGUGGGUAGCGAACAGGAUUAGAUACCCCUGUAGUCCCUGUCUCUAUACA
rnacentral:rRNA from 1 species